rnacentral:rRNA from 3 species
GACCGCUCGGUCUCGAGCCGCUGGGGAUUCGUCCCAGGCGAGCGCCCGCCAGAGUUAAACCAAACUCUUGUUAUUAAACCGGUCGUCUGAGUUAAAAUUUUGAAUAAAUCAAAACUUUCAACAACGGAUCUCUUGGUUCUCGCAUCGAUGAAGAACGCAGCGAAAUGCGAUAAGUAAUGUGAAUUGCAGAAUUCAGUGAAUCAUCGAAUCUUUGAACGCACAUUGCGCCCCUUGGUAUUCCGAGGGGCAUGCCUGUUCGAGCGUCAUUACACCACUCAAGCUAUGCUUGGUAUUGGGUGCCGUCCUUAGUUGGGCGCGCCUUAAAGACCUCGGCGAGGCCUCACCGGCUUUAGGCGUAGUAGAAUUUAUUCGAACGUCUGUCAAAGGAGAGGACUUCUGCCGACUGAAACCUUUUAUUUUUCUAGGUUGACCUCGGAUCAGGUAGGGAUACCCGCUGAACUUAAGCAUA